AUUGAACGCUGGCGGCAGGCCUAACACAUGCAAGUCGAGCGGAUGAAGGGAGCUUGCUCCUGGAUUCAGCGGCGGGCGGGUGAGUAAUGCCUAGGAAUCUGCCUGGUAGUGGGGGAUAACGUCCGGAAACGGGCGCUAAUACCGCAUACGUCCUGAGGGAGAAAGUGGGGGAUCUUCGGACCUCACGCUCUCAGAUGAGCCUAGGUCGGAUUAGCUAGUUGGUGGGGUAAAGGCCUACCAAGGCGACGAUCCGUAACUGGUCUGAGAGGAUGAUCAGUCACACUGGAACUGAGACACGGUCCAGACUCCUACGGGAGGCAGCAGUGGGGAAUAUUGGACAAUGGGCGAAAGCCUGAUCCAGCCAUGCCGCGUGUGUGAAGAAGGUCUUCGGAUUGUAAAGCACUUUAAGUUGGGAGGAAGGGCAGUAAGUUAAUACCUUGCUGUUUUGACGUUACCAACAGAAUAAGCACCGGCUAACUUCGUG
rnacentral:rRNA from 1 species